rnacentral:lncRNA from 1 species
CGAGUCACCAGAUUUUGUCAAAAAGAGGGCUCGAUUGAUUCCCCUAUUUUUCUUUGUUUUUCCAUCCGUCUUUCUUGAUUUUUUCAAUGGCGGUCAUCACCACCGACCGCUCGUAUAUGAUCCCUCAACUGCAUCACUGCAUUCCACAUGCCUAAUGAUAGCUAUCACCAUCUUUGAGCCCCUCCAUUCUGGGAAUAGAAUGGGAGAAAGCAUCCACUGUUUUGCCAAGGAAAGAAGCAAGAAGAAAGAUGGAAAAAAAAAUGGAAAAGAAAA